UUUCUCAGGCAUCCAGCCUGGAUCUCAGCUGCAAAGGAGAAAAGUUCUUGUGCCUGUCUUGCCUGGAGUGCUGGCCUUGCUGGACUCAACCCAUUUGCCACCAGUGGAUUAAAACUGAGACCCAAAACACCAGCGAGGUCCAUGUCUUGUGCUGGAGAUCAGCUGGAUGCAGAACUCCAGAUGGGGUCUCAUGAGAGCAGAGUAGAGGAGCAGGACCACCUCCCUUGACCUGCUGGCCACACUGCUUUGGGUGCAACUCAGGAUGCUGCUGGCCUUCUGGACUGUGGGCAUACCCAAGAUAUACUGUUGUUAAAGAGGUGGAACAGAUGUUUGGAAGCUUUGCCUGGAACAGCAUAUAAUCUACUGGCAUUUUGGAUCUGCAGGAGAAAACCAGAAUGUUUCCACCGUCAAAGGUCUCUUGGAGUUGUUGAAAGAAGGCUGGAACAGUCCUGGUUUUUGGACUUGCUUUUCUUAAGGUAAUUUUACAAAAAUGCCUGUAGAAUGCUCAGAAGCUCACCAGCUUUAUGAAGAAGACCUUCAGACUUUCCAGAACUCAAAAGUUCCUCUCAGUGCCAAUUACAAGACUGGAAAGAGGUUUCCAUUUAGUUGAUUUUGGAAAGCGUGAAGUGUUUGAGAGGAUUAGAGACAGCAGAAGAAGAGGAAUUCAGACUAUGUAUUGAGAAAGCAGUGUCAUUUCCAUUUGUUUGCUAGAAGGCCAGCUGUGAGAGACAACUGUGGCAGUUUUGGAGGCAGGAGUGCCUACAGGAACUGCUGACUGCAAUGAUGAUGAACCCACCCCAUUCACUGCAACAGCUUUAUUGCAAACAUCUGAGGAGACUCUGCCCGUAUUUACCGUGUAAUGGAUGGAGACAGUGGUAGCAAGAAAUUAUUGAAGACAAUGCAAAAUCAGUUCACCUGGUACAGGCCUCUGAGGGACAUCGCUUGUCGCUGAUCUCCGUUUGGACAUGGAACAUCUAUGAUAUCAUUGAGCUGUCAACCACCACCCUCCAGAUGUGACUACCCAACCAAUUCCUCAUCUGCCAAACAGUUCAUCCAUCAAAUCCAUUCCUCUCCAAUUCUGAGGUUUCUGGGUGGGAUACUUCAGCCAAUCACAUUUAUUUAAGAAGAUCUGUCUCAGACAUUUGAACUUGACCCUAUUUCCUGCCAACAACACCUGGCAAGAGAGCUAGGUCACCCCAGACUCCUGAGGUUUUGUCUUGAAGCUUUCUCCUCCACUGUGUCCUGGAUACUCAUCUUUCUCAUUUUCAGCUGUUACCUGGCAUGAAUUUGCACAGAAGAACCUCCCCUGUCAUCAGAAGCCAGAAAAAUCCAUUCAGAUUAGGAGACGGAAGGAGAUUUAGAAAGAGAGUCUCUGUUGGAUCAUGCUUGUGCCUUCACAAAAGCCAUAUUUUUAUUAUGCCCUUACAUAACCUGUCCCCUGUUUCAAAUACAGCUUGAAAAAAAAACCUCCUUCGUACGAGAACAUGACCAGCUGAGUAAAUAAAAAAACCUGUUGAACUUGUGGAUUGUACUUGCUGAGGCCCUAACUAUUUUGAUACAUGUGCCUGCAUAGCAAUACAUUUUGGAGAGAAAUAGUGAUAUUGAGACACAUGAAAACAGUUGGUAAAGGAUACAAGUUAACCUGAAAACAUAUUCCUGGUAACACGGUUAAAGGAAAGGGAGAAGUGCUCAAAGGUAAAUUCAGGUCAAUUGGCGUCUUCAAAAACAAGACUUGGAUGACUUUUAAAACAAAGUCAUAUGCAAAGAGGGAACAAGUCACAGAAACACCAAAUUUACCACAGUGUCAUGAGAGUGGAAAGGAGGAAAAAAAAAUGACAAAAAAGAACUCAGCAGUAAAAUGAAUAUAUUCAUGCAGUGUCAGUCUCUCCAGACAAGAAAUGGUGCCAAGCAGAACCGCAUCAGCGUGUGGCCGCUUCUUGCACUGACACUAAAAACAUCUGUUGAGGUACAGCAUUUAUACUGUCUGCCAAACAAGAGUUUUUUAAUCUUAAAACAUAUGCUGGAAAUAGGAAAAUUUGGACAAGAACAAAAAGAAAAAAGAGGGGUGGGUGGCCAAUAAAUUAAAAGUGAGAAGUGGGGAAGGACAGAUUGGAGACAAUGUUUUCCACAUAGUGCAUCAUAGUUAAUUCAAGUCAUCUCAGGUCACCAAAGAAAGGAAAGCUCAUGAAGGAAUUCACAGAUUGCUCAGAGAAGUUGAAAGCAGCAAAGUGGUGCUCUUCAUGUUCAUCCUUCAAACAUUGGGUUUUGAACAGUUAACCCUAAAACUCAGGUUUUAACAAGUCUGGGAAUACAUCUAACUUGAAAUGCAAGAACUGAUGCUGACAGCAAUACUCUUAUUUUUCAGGCAUGCUUAUCUCACAUUUUUUGCAGAAAGCAUGUAUUUAAGCCCCCCAGCUGAGACAGGGCCUAAUAUUGACUCUUCAAAAACUGUGCCUCCAGCCUAUCGGGUUAAACACUUAUGCAAACAAAUUUUAGAUACAUACAAUAAGUAGUUUUUUUAAAGAU